rnacentral:rRNA from 1 species
UACGAAGGGGGCAAGCGUUGUUCGGAAUGACUGGGCGUAAAGGGCGCGUAGGCGGUUCGUUGCGUCAGAUGUGAAAGCCCCGGGCUCAACCUGGGAACUGCAUUUGAUACGGGCGAGCUUGAAUCCAAGAGAGGGUGGUGGAAUUCCCAGUGUAGAGGUGAAAUGCGUAGAUAUUGGGAAGAACACCGGAGGCGAAGGCGGGUUGCUGGGCCGACACUGACGCUGAGGCGCGAAAGCUAGGGGAGCAAACGGG